rnacentral:rRNA from 1 species
UGGGGAAUAUUGCACAAUGGGCGCAAGCCUGAUGCAGCCAUGCCGCGUGUGUGAAGAAGGCCUUCGGGUUGUAAAGCACUUUCAGCGGGGAGGAAGGCGUUAAGGUUAAUAACCUUGGCGAUUGACGUUACCCGCAGAAGAAGCACCGGCUAACUCCGUGCCAGCAGCCGCGGUAAUACGGAGGGUGCAAGCGUUAAUCGGAAUUACUGGGCGUAAAGCGCACGCAGGCGGUCUGUCAAGUCGGAUGUGAAAUCCCCGGGCUCAACCUGGGAACUGCAUUCGAAACUGGCAGGCUAGAGUCUUGUAGAGGGGGGUAGAAUUCCAGGUGUAGCGGUGAAAUGCGUAGAGAUCUGGAGGAAUACCGGUGGCGAAGGCGGCCCCGUGGACAAAGACUGACGCUCAGGUGCGAAAGCGUGGGGAGCAAACAGG